CCUUAUCUAGGAGAGUCUUUCCUCAGGACGCAAGACACUGCCUCUUGGUCUGCCCCGGAGCUAACCGUCGGUUCUGUCCCUGGGCUCCCAGGCCGGCCCCUGGGGCGUCCUCCUCCGGCCCGGCCGGCUCGGGAAACCCACGCCCGCGGGAAGAGGUAAAAAGCAAAAACCAGUCUUUCUUUCAGUUACAUUCAAAGACGUCGUAUCCUGGGCACACGCAUUCGGAUUUUCGGGAGAUGUCCGUAGCACCCAUUCUCCUCCACUUGCUCCCUCACCUGGUGCUGGCCUGGAACUCCGCAUCCUGGCUGGACUAAUCCUCCCAGCUUCUCAAGGAAGGAGCCAGCGUGGGGGCUGGGGGCUGGGGACUGGUGGGCAGCAUGGCCCCCGCUGCUGGAGCAUUUCCUUCAGGCAGAGAGCAGAGACAGUUUGGAACCGGCAAAAGCAAAAGACCAGGAAGAGCUGCUAACACAGAAGGGUACUCCUCAGAUGCCCUGAACACGAUGAUUCGUUCCACCUCUUGUUCUCUUCUUGGAUCAUGG
ensembl:lncRNA